rnacentral:rRNA from 1 species
UACGAGGGGGGCGAGCGUUGUCCGGAAUUAUUGGGCGUAAAGGGUGCGUAGGCGGUUCCGCAAGUCCUGUGUGAAAUCUUCGGGCUCAACUCGAAGUCUGCACGGGAAACUGCGGGGCUUGAGUGUGGGAGAGGUGAGUGGAAUUCCCGGUGUAGCGGUGAAAUGCGUAGAGAUCGGGAGGAACACCAGUGGCGAAGGCGGCUACCUGGACCAGCACUGACACUGAGGCACGAAAGCGUGGGGAGCAAACAGG